CACUCACUGUGCUGAUAUCUAAACAGCACCACAGGAGAAGAUGGGGUAGAGAAGAGACAGGAAGAAACAGGAAUAUUCCAAGACCCAGGACAAGGAGCACAUACAUCCGUAGAGCCGCAGUCGCAUGCACCUAUAAGGAUCUCUACCUUGAUGUCAUCUUCUGUGAUAUAUCCAGCCUGCACCACCCACCACGCCUCGAUGGCAAUUUCCACUGGCUUCAUUGGUAGAAGAUCACGGGCAGUUUUCCUUCUGAAGAAUUUCUGCAAUAAUGUAACACUUAAGGACCUGCAGCCAACCCAGAUUACCACUGUCUUCUAUCAUUGUAGAAGACAUUACAACAGGCUACAUCUUCUCAAAUUUUCAUAUUUAAAAUGCUAACUAGUUAUGUAGUGUAGAAACAUUCUUUCUUAACUUAUUUUAAAAUAAAUUACUAAACAUAGACAUUAAUCCAGAAACAGUUCAAAUAAAACCCAAAAGGUUAAAAACCUGUACUUGAAAAUGUGAACUCACUAAGUGAAUCCUAGGGCUAAAUUAUCCAAAUAAAAAGAGAAGCAAAGAAUAGUUAACUUCCAAAAAUAAAUAUUAUAAGCUGUAAC